rnacentral:pre_miRNA from 1 species
CGAUAGCGAAUUUGUAUGGAGUUGGAAUGUUUGCCUACGUUUGCCGCUGUUCCAACUGCGUACAAAUUUGAGUAA